GUGAAGUUGUAAGAACUCACAAACCAUAAAAGGUUUUUAAGUACAGGAGCAACAUUAGGAAAGUGCUAUUUAUGGAAGAAAAUGCAUUGAAGCUAUACUUAAAAUAGAUCAGAUCAAGUGAGCUUAAAGUCAAGGAGGCUGACAAGAGAGCUCUGCUGUAAUUCAGGUAUGAGGGGAUGGCUUGUGGGGAGGGGGAAGUCAUGUCCAGGAGAAUGGACAGAAGGAAAUAGAAGAAAGGAGAGAUACUGCACACAAUUUCAACAGGAAAUGGCAAGUGUUGGAGCCUUCUGGGCUGAUUGUCUUUGUUGCUGCUACAGACAUUUCAACUGAAUGUGUCUGCUCCAGUAAAUGGCCUUCGGUUACGAGUGAGACAAGUGUAUCCCAGAGAAUGAAAAUGGUUUGCUCGUCUAC
rnacentral:lncRNA from 1 species